UCAGGGAAUGAAGUUCUCCCUUGGGAAACCAAAACCGCUUUUAAAGCUGAUGACUUCUAUGA
rnacentral:ncRNA from 1 species